rnacentral:rRNA from 1 species
ACGUACACUCCUAACGGGAGGCAGCAGUGGGGAAUUUUGGACAAUGGGCGAAAGCCUGAUCCAGCCAUGCCGCGUGCAGGAUGAAGGCCUUCGGGUUGUAAACUGCUUUUGUACGGAACGAAACGGCCUUUUCUAAUAAAGAGGGCUAAUGACGGUACCGUAAGAAUAAGCACCGGCUAACUACGUGCCAGCAGCCGCGGUAAUACGUAGGGUGCAAGCGUUAAUCGGAAUUACUGGGCGUAAAGCGUGCGCAGGCGGUUAUGUAAGACAGUUGUGAAAUCCCCGGGCUCAACCUGGGAACUGCAUCUGUGACUGCAUAGCUAGAGUACGGUAGAGGGGGAUGGAAUUCCGCGUGUAGCAGUGAAAUGCGUAGAUAUGCGGAGGAACACCGAUGGCGAAGGCAAUCCCCUGGACCUGUACUGACGCUCAUGCACGAAAGCGUGGGGAGCAAACAGGAUUAGAUACCCCUGUAGUCCCAUG